GACGAACGCUGGCGGCGUGCUUAACACAUGCAAGUCGAACGGAAAGAUCCCUUCGGGGAUACUCGAGUGGCGAACGGGUGAGUAACACGUGGGUAAUCUGCCCUGCACUUCGGGAUAAGCCUGGGAAACUGGGUCUAAUACCGGAUAUGACCACGAAGCGCAUGCCUUGUGGUGGAAAGCUUUUGCGGUGUGGGAUGGGCCCGCGGCCUAUCAGCUUGUUGGUGGGGUGACGGCCUACCAAGGCGACGACGGGUAGCCGGCCUGAGAGGGUGUCCGGCCACACUGGGACUGAGAUACGGCCCAGACUCCUACGGGAGGCAGCAGUGGGGAAUAUUGCACAAUGGGCGCAAGCCUGAUGCAGCGACGCCGCGUGGGGGAUGACGGCCUUCGGGUUGUAAACCUCUUUCAGCAGGGACGAAGCGCAAGUGACGGUACCUGCAGAAGAAGCACCGGCCAACUACGUGCCAGCAGCCGCGGUAAUACGUAGGGUGCGAGCGUUGUCCGGAAUUACUGGGCGUAAAGAGCUCGUAGGUGGU
rnacentral:rRNA from 2 species